UUUGAAAUGUUUUUAUACAUUUUCGGAAACUUUUUGAAAUCAUUUUCUGACUGAAAUCAUUUACACCACAAAGACUGGAAGUUCCCCUUAAAGACCCCGUGAACCUCGGAAGGCAGCAGAACUGGUGGCUCUGACUGAGGCAUGCAAACUGGCUAAAGGCAAAUCUGUCACCAUUCUCGCUUGCUACGCCUUUGGCGUUGUGCGUGACUUUGGCGCACUCUGGAAACAUCUCAAGUUCCUCAAAUCUGACGGUAAACCCAUCUUACACCACCACAAGGUAGCUGCCCUGUUGGAAGCCAUUUUGUUACCUUCCAGCAUUGCUGUUUGCAAAUGUGCUGCUCACACCUCCUCCCGUGACCAAGUUUCUCUGGGUAAUGCUCGUGCAGAUGCAGCUGCAAAAGCUGCGGCUGCCACCACAAAUUUCCUGUUUGCACUCUGCCUCAGCCGCUCCUUCCCCCACAGCGUCCCUGUCUGCUCUACUUCAAUUUUCUCUGAAUACUUGUAAAGCAAACUGCAUCAUCCAAAUGUGCUUUAAUGUGAUUUUUGCUUCUUCAUUUUAAUAAAAUGUUGUAACAGA